GAUCUGGAUACCUUUAGAGUGGUUUCCUUGGUGCAAAUCAUUACAGCUAGCACUCUCCUCUUCUCCUUUAUUUGCUACGAAGGCAGCCAAGUAAUUAAAGAGUCUCAGAAGAUAAAGUCGUCCUCCUUUGGGACUGCCUGGUGGAACUUUGACCAGGACAACUAUUUAUUCGUCAAAAUGAUCGGUCUGCGAGCCGAUGAGCCGCUCGCUUUCAAAAUCGGCUCCUUCAACUUUCCGCUCUCCUUGGAAACCAUCAAAGUGAUUUUAGAAAUCUCGUUCACCUACUUCAUGUUCCUGUGCCAGUACAAGCAGCGGAAUUAAACGCAAUUUAAAAUGCAAAUCGGUGCGCAGAAAUCAAUUUGGCCUCGUGCAUACAAUUUGGCCCGAUUAUGCACACGAGCCGGCGUGGAUGUGUCCGCCGCGCGCGCGUGUGUGCACCCGAUUUGCAUUCUCUGCAGCGGCCGGCGAGGAAGGAAGGAAGGGACUCGACUGCCUCUGCAUAAUCUAUAAUGCAGUGUGUUGUGCUGACAAGUGUGUUAUUAGCAAUCAAGCCGCCAUUAUAUUGGCGAGGGUUCCCCGUGCGCGAGUGUGUGUGUGUGUGUGUGUGUGUGUGUAUGUGUACGUCGAGUAAUACCCAUAUUAUAUCUGCAUGCAGCCAGCCGACCGACAAGCAGCCGAGGCGCACCCGCAUUGUCUGCCAAUGAAAUGCACUCUGUGAAUAAAAGCUCGUUACACACGAAAAUUAAUGCCUCCCGCUGGCUAAUUUUCUCUUUCCGUGUUUUGUGUCCGACUUUUAAAAGAAUUGUUACUCAUUUACAUAUGCAGCUUACCUCAUGUUUAGUUUGAAACGCAAACUGUGUUGAAAUAAAGAGAAAAUUAUAAAUGAACGUUUUAUGCUUAAUGGCUGCAAUGUAGCU